GGGCGUGUAGCUCAGUUGGUUAGAGCGUCAAGCUUAUACCUUGAUGGUCCUUGGUUCGAGUCCAAGCACGCCCACCA
rnacentral:tRNA from 1 species